rnacentral:rRNA from 1 species
UACGUAGGGUGCGAGCGUUAAUCGGAAUUACUGGGCGUAAAGCGUGCGCAGGCGGUUUUGUAAGUCUGACGUGAAAUCCCCGGGCUUAACCUGGGAAUUGCGUUGGAGACUGCAAGGCUGGAGUCUGGCAGAGGGGGGUAGAAUUCCGACGUGUGAGCAGUGAAAUGCGUAGAGAUGUGGAGGAACACCGAUGGCGAAGGCAGCCCCUGGGUCAAGAUUGACGCUCAUGCACGAAAGGCGUGGGGAGCAAACGAG